UGCUACUCCGCUGCUUUUUUUCAAAUUCAAGCUUAUUGUCUGGAAUGUCUAAAUGUCUAGAACAGCGGUAGCCAAAUCCAGUGAAGUGCCUCUGGCAGUCGUCCCAGGAACCCUGUGCAGAAUGGAGGAGGCUUUGCGAGUCUGAAUGGCCAGCUCAAAUCUCAUCCCGGAAUGGAAUACAACAGACUACGGAUGUGAACGUGUCCCAGUGUUUUUGGAACGGAGGAUGAGGGUUAACAUCAAAGCUCUUGUUUUUCUAGACAGAAGAAGGAAAAUAAAGCUGUUUUGUUAAACGGAGACUCAGUAAUUACUAUGUUUACAUUAAAAAG